rnacentral:lncRNA from 1 species
UAGAUCUAUUUAUAUGCAUAAGAUCUAAGGCUGAGAAUAUAAUCUAAAUAUUGGUAUAUUGGUAGAGAGUGCAAUUAAGAGGGAUACGUAGGUGGUGAGAGUAGGUGAAGACAUCUUCUUUCCGACUCUGCUUGGGUAUGGAUGCUCACAUGUGGAUGUUGUGUUUGUGGACAAGUUGAUGUGUUUUCGGAAAUUGUGGUUGAUGUGUUUGUGGACAAGUGGAUGCUCACAUGAGAGACUUAUGUUUGUAGAUGGUCACUUAUGAAGAGAGACUUAUGUUUGUAGACGCUCACAUGUCUACAUCUUCUUUCCGACUCUGCUUGUGGAUGCUUACAUGUGGAUGUUGUAUUUGUG